rnacentral:rRNA from 1 species
UACAGAGGUGGCAAGCGUUGUUCGGAAUUACUGGGCGUAAAGGGCGCGUAGGCGGCCUUCUAAGUCAGACGUGAAAUCCCCCGGCUUAACCUGGGAACUGCGUCUGAUACUGGAGGGCUUGAGUGCGGGAGAGGGAUGUGGAAUUCCAGGUGUAGCGGUGAAAUGCGUAGAUAUCUGGAGGAACACCGGUGGCGAAGGCGGCAUCCUGGACCAACACUGACGCUGAGUGAGCGAAAGCCAGGGGAGCAAACGGG